rnacentral:rRNA from 1 species
CAGCAGCCACGGGAAUACGUAGGGCGCAAGCGUUAUCCGGAAUUAUUGGGCGUAAAGAGCUCGUAGGCGGUUUGUCGCGUCUGCCGUGAAAGUCCGGGGCUCAACCCCGGAUCUGCGGUGGGUACGGGCAGACUAGAGUGAUGUAGGGGAGACUGGAAUUCCUGGUGUAGCGGUGAAAUGCGCAGAUAUCAGGAGGAACACCGAUGGCGAAGGCAGGUCUCUGGGCAUUAACUGACGCUGAGGAGCGAAAGCAUGGGGAGCGAACAGGAUUAGAUACCCCUGUAGUCCCUGUCUCUUAUAA